AUCUGGGGGCUGCUGGGCCUCACGGCGCUACGUCACGAACGGUCGCCUUAACAACCUCCCACAGCUCUCACUGCUGCGGACAACAGGCACCGCACCAUCUCUCACCAUGGCUCGGCCAACCAAUAGCUAGUCGAGUCCCAGAACUAGGGCCUGCCUAUUGGCCCAAGAGCCCUGGGGGCGCAAGCAUGUGGAAGGAAACAGUUUUCACAGUGAAGAAGACUGUAGUGAACAAAACAAAGAUUGAAAUAUUCUAAGUCUUAUCAAAAGGAAGAAGGAGAAAAGAAGAAAAAGAGGAAGGAGUGGAAGAGGAAGAAGAAAAAGCAGGAGGAGGAGAAGAAGUGAAGGAAGGAAGGUAGUCCCUGAAACCCAGAACCCUGAUCAUCAGCAACUAAAAAUGAAUCUGUCUUUCCUUGAGAACUGGGAAAGAUCUUUUAAAUCUAGAAGAGUUUUGGGGCGCCUGGGUGGCGCAGUUGGUUGGGCGUCGGACUUCAGCCAGGUCACGAUCUCGCAGUCCGUGAGUUCGAGCCCCGCGUCGGGCUCUGGGCUGAUGGCUCAGAGCCUGGAGCCUGUUUCCGAUUCUGUGUCUCCCUCUCUCUCUGCCCCUCCCCCGUUCAUGCUCUGUCUCUCUCUGUCCCAAAAAUAAAUAAAUGUUGAAAAAAAAAUUUAAAAAA